rnacentral:tRNA from 1 species
GCGGGAAUAGCUCAGUGGUAGAGUACUAGCUUCCCAAGCUGGGUGCCGCGGGUUCGAGUCCCGUUUCCCGCUCCA